AAGCGGUGGAUGAUGUUGGUUUAAUUCGAUGCAACGCGAAAACCUUACCCACCUUUGACAUGGCAGGAAUCCCGAAGAGAUUUGGGAGUGCUCGAAAGAGAACCUGCACACAGGUGCUGCAUGGCUGUCGUCAGCUCGUGUCGUGAGAUGUUGGGUUAAGUCCCGCAACGAGCGCAACCCUUGUCAUUAGUUGCUACAUUCAGUUGGGCACUCUAAUGAGACUGCCGGUGACAAGCCGGAGGAAGGUGGGGAUGACGUCAAGUCCUCAUGGCCCUUAUAGGUGGGGCUACACACGUCAUACAAUGGCUGGUACAAAGGGUUGCCAACCCGCGAGGGGGAGCCAAUCCCAUAAAGCCAGUCGUAGUCCGGAUCGUAGUCUGCAACUCGACUACGUGAAGUCGGAAUCGCUAGUAAUCGUGGAUCAGAAUGUCACGGUGAAUACGUUCCCGGGUCUU
rnacentral:rRNA from 1 species